rnacentral:rRNA from 1 species
AGGACGAACGCUGGCGGCGUGCUUAACACAUGCAAGUCGAGCGGAAAGGCCCUUCGGGGUACUCGAGCGGCGAACGGGUGAGUAACACGUGAGUAAUCUGCCCCUAGCUCUGGGAUAGCUCCGGGAAACCGGGAUUAAUACCGGAUACGACCACUUUAGACAUCUGUUGUGGUGGAAAGAAUUUUGGCUAGGGAUGAGCUCGCGGCCUAUCAGCUUGUUGGUGGGGUAAUGGCCUACCAAGGCGACGACGGGUAGCCGGCCUGAGAGGGCGACCGGCCACACUGGGACUGAGACACGGCCCAGACUCCUACGGGAGGCAGCAGUGGGGAAUAUUGCGCAAUGGGCGAAAGCCUGACGCAGCGACGCCGCGUGGGGGAUGAAGGCCUUCGGGUUGUAAACCCCUUUCAGCAGGGACGAAGCGAAAGUGACGGUACCUGCAGAAGAAGCACCGGCUAACUACGCGCCAGCAGCCGC